UCGAUUCUCUGUAUGUAUGUACUGUACAUGUAGAAAUUGACAAUAAAGCAGACUUGAACUUGAACUUGAACUUGAAUGUGCACUCACACUCCAUCUACCUGUGCAGACAUGGAGAGAGCAAACAUAACAUCCAGGGCCGCAUUGGAGGAGAUUCUUAACUUUCCCCCCCAAGGGAGACAGGUCUGAACUUAUUUAGUGCUGCCUUUAUAGCGUUUAUUCAUCAGAAGAUUCUCUACUUUCUCUCUCCUUUGAGAGUAGUUUGCGAGUGCCCUGCGUUAGUUCAUUGAGGAGCAUAAGCUGUCCGACUUGUAGGUUUGGACCAGCCAGUUAAGGUUUACCAGACAGAUGGCUGAAGAGCUGGGAGUUCCAUAAGAACAGUGGAAAAUCCUCAAUGAGAUAGAUGCUGUUAGUAUGCUCAGAUUCUAGCAGAGAUUGCAUGCAUUUUAUAUGUAUUAUAUGUUCAUGUGAGGAGAUGACCUAUGAAAUGAUUUUGAACACAUUCCCAGAAGAGUUUGCUUUAAGGGAUCAGGACAAAUACCACUACAGAUAUCCAGGAGGAGAGGUACAGCACGUGAUGAGCGUAUCACUUUGUUGCAGUUCUUCAGAGUAUGUUCCUUCUCACUCUCUGUAGUUCUGCAGGUUUUCUGGCUUUUGUUGAAGUCAGUGUUCCUGUGGGAAGGUCUGACUGUUUUAAAAGGAUCUUUCUUCUUGUAGUCAUAUCAGGACCUGGUUCAGCGACUGGGGACUGUGAUUAUGGAGCUUGAGAGACGAGGCAAUGUACUGGUCAUCUGCCACUGCCAACUAGCCUAUUUCUUGGAAAAGAGUGGAGGCAAGAUGCACUUUCACUUGAGAAGCAACAAAUGUUUUUAUCUGCUGGCCAGCAUGUUUUUACUUACCCUUCCGAGAUUUUCACUGGCCUCAAAAAUGUCUCUUUUGAACAAUUGAAUGCAUCACUGCUGAAUUGAUGAUGAUGAUGAUGAUGAUGAUGAUGAUGAUGAUCUCACUUAUUUGAAAAGUUCCCUUCAUGUUGUCAUGAGGCUCACUCCUGUUGCUUAUGGUUGCAAAGUGGAGAUGUUUCAUCUGAAUGUGGAGGCAGUGAAUACACAUCGGAACCGACCACUGGUAUACGUGAGUAAUCGAGAACAGCAGGGAGUUGCAGUUUAGCACCGUAAUGUGAGAGAUGGAGGUCACCCGAAGCAGCGCUCACCUGUCCCAGAGCUUUCAGGGGAAUCUGAUAUCCUUCACUCACAGUGCGUCAAGCAGAAAGAAAAAGGAAAGAAAGAGAAAGCAAGCAGGGUGGGAAAGAACCUGAACUGCCCUGACCCUCAGAGAAGUCAAUUAUAAUUAGUAUUAUUUCACGGCUCUCUGGAACACUUGACUCUGAUUGGUUAAUUAAGUUUGUAUGACUGUUUGUGAUUUGUUUCACUGACGUUUGUCUCACUCUGUGCUAAUAUUAAGGAAUAAGUCACCCAACUAUGAACAUUUCCUGAAAAUGUACUAAUUUAGCAUUAUAUCACUUGCUCACUCAUGGA